rnacentral:rRNA from 1 species
UUAAGUUAUUAAGGGCGCACGGUGGAUGCCUUGGCACUAGAAGCCGAUGAAGGACGUUACUAACGACGAUAUGCUUUGGGGAGCUGUAAGUAAGCUUUGAUCCAGAGAUUUCCGAAUGGGGAAACCCAGCAUGAGUUAUGUCAUGUUAUCGAUAUGUGAAUACAUAGCAUAUCAGAAGGCACACCCGGAGAACUGAAACAUCUUAGUACCCGGAGGAAGAGAAAGAAAAUUCGAUUCCCUUAGUAGCGGCGAGCGAAACGGGAAGAGCCCAAACCAACAAGCUUGCUUGUUGGGGUUGUAGGACACUCUAUACGGAGUUACAAAGGACGACAUUAGACGAAUCAUCUGGAAAGAUGAAUCAAAGAAGGUAAUAAUCCUGUAGUCGAAAAUGUUGUCUCUCUUGAGUGGAUCCUGAGUACGACGGAGCACGUGAAAUUCCGUCGGAAUCUGGGAGGACCAUCUCCUAAGGCUAAAUACUCUCUAGUGACCGAUAGUGAACCAGUACCGUGAGGGAAAGGUGAAAAGCACCCCGGAAGGGGAGUGAAAUAGAACCUGAAACCGUGUGCUUACAAGUAGUCAGAGCCCGUUAAUGGGUGAUGGCGUGCCUUUUGUAGAAUGAACCGGCGAGUUACGAUUUGAUGCAAGGUUAAGCAGUAAAUGUGGAGCCGUAGCGAAAGCGAGUCUGAAUAGGGCGUUUAGUAUUUGGUCGUAGACCCGAAACCAGGUGAUCUACCCUUGGUCAGGUUGAAGUUCAGGUAACACUGAAUGGAGGACCGAACCGACUUACGUUGAAAAGUGAGCGGAUGAACUGAGGGUAGCGGAGAAAUUCCAAUCGAACCUGGAGAUAGCUGGUUCUCUCCGAAAUAGCUUUAGGGCUAGCCUCAAGUGAUGAUUAUUGGAGGUAGAGCACUGUUUGGACGAGGGGCCCCUCUCGGGUUACCGAAUUCAGACAAACUCCGAAUGCCAAUUAAUUUAACUUGGGAGUCAGAACAUGGGUGAUAAGGUCCGUGUUCGAAAGGGAAACAGCCCAGACCACCAGCUAAGGUCCCAAAAUAUAUGUUAAGUGGAAAAGGAUGUGGCGUUGCCCAGACAACUAGGAUGUUGGCUUAGAAGCAGCCAUCAUUUAAAGAGUGCGUAAUAGCUCACUAGUCGAGUGACACUGCGCCGAAAAUGUACCGGGGCUAAACAUAUUACCGAAGCUGUGGAUUGUCCUUUGGACAAUGGUAGGAGAGCGUUCUAAGGGCGUUGAAGCAUGAUCGUAAGGACAUGUGGAGCGCUUAGAAGUGAGAAUGCCGGUGUGAGUAGCGAAAGACGGGUGAGAAUCCCGUCCACCGAUUGACUAAGGUUUCCAGAGGAAGGCUCGUCCGCUCUGGGUUAGUCGGGUCCUAAGCUGAGGCCGACAGGCGUAGGCGAUGGAUAACAGGUUGAUAUUCCUGUACCACCUAUAAUCGUUUUAAUCGAUGGGGGGACGCAGUAGGAUAGGCGAAGCGUGCGAUUGGAUUGCACGUCUAAGCAGUAAGGCUGAGUAUUAGGCAAAUCCGGUACUCGUUAAGGCUGAGCUGUGAUGGGGAGAAGACAUUGUGUCUUCGAGUCGUUGAUUUCACACUGCCGAGAAAAGCCUCUAGAUAGAAAAUAGGUGCCCGUACCGCAAACCGACACAGGUAGUCAAGAUGAGAAUUCUAAGGUGAGCGAGCGAACUCUCGUUAAGGAACUCGGCAAAAUGACCCCGUAACUUCGGGAGAAGGGGUGCUCUUUAGGGUUAACGCCCAGAAGAGCCGCAGUGAAUAGGCCCAAGCGACUGUUUAUCAAAAACACAGGUCUCUGCUAAACCGUAAGGUGAUGUAUAGGGGCUGACGCCUGCCCGGUGCUGGAAGGUUAAGAGGAGUGGUUAGCUUCUGCGAAGCUACGAAUCGAAGCCCCAGUAAACGGCGGCCGUAACUAUAACGGUCCUAAGGUAGCGAAAUUCCUUGUCGGGUAAGUUCCGACCCGCACGAAAGGCGUAACGAUUUGGGCACUGUCUCAACGAGAGACUCGGUGAAAUCAUAGUACCUGUGAAGAUGCAGGUUACCCGCGACAGGACGGAAAGACCCCGUGGAGCUUUACUGUAGCCUGAUAUUGAAAUUCGGCACAGCUUGUACAGGAUAGGUAGGAGCCUUUGAAACGUGAGCGCUAGCUUACGUGGAGGCGCUGGUGGGAUACUACCCUAGCUGUGUUGGCUUUCUAACCCGCACCACUUAUCGUGGUGGGAGACAGUGUCAGGCGGGCAGUUUGACUGGGGCGGUCGCCUCCUAAAAGGUAACGGAGGCGCUCAAAGGUUCCCUCAGAAUGGUUGGAAAUCAUUCAUAGAGUGUAAAGGCAUAAGGGAGCUUGACU